UACGUAGGGUGCAAGCGUUGUCCGGAAUUAUUGGGCGUAAAGAGCUCGUAGGCGGUUUGUCGCGUCUGCUGUGAAAGACCGGGGCUCAACUCCGGUUCUGCAGUGGGUACGGGCAGACUAGAGUGCAGUAGGGGAGACUGGAAUUCCUGGCGUAGCGGUGAAAUGCGCAGAUAUCAGGAGGAACACCGGUGGCGAAGGCGGUUCUCUGGGCCUUACCUGACGCUGAGGAGCGAAAGCGUGGGGAGCAAACAGG
rnacentral:rRNA from 1 species